rnacentral:rRNA from 1 species
GAUGAACGCUGGCGGCGUGCUUAACACAUGCAAGUCGAACGAGGAGUGAAGACGGAAACCUUCGGGCGGAAGGCUUUAUUUCGAGUGGCGGACGGGUGAGUAACGCGUGGGUAACCUGCCUCAUACAGGGGGAUAACAGUUGGAAACGACUGUUAAUACCGCAUAAGACCACAGCACCGCAUGGUGCGGGGGUAAAAACUCCGGUGGUAUGAGAUGGACCCGCGUUCGAUUAGCCAGUUGGCGGGGUAACGGCCCACCAAAGCGACGAUCGAUAGCCGAUCUGAGAGGAUGACCGGCCACAUUGGGACUGAGACACGGCCCAAACUCCUACGGGAGGCAGCAGUGGGGAAUAUUGCACAAUGGGGGAAACCCUGAUGCAGCGACGCCGCGUGAGUGAAGAAGUAUUUCGGUAUGUAAAGCUCUAUCAGCAGGGAAGAAAAUGACGGUACCUGAGGAAGAAGCCCCGGCUAACUACGUG